rnacentral:rRNA from 1 species
AGGAUGAACGCUGGCGGCGUGCCUAAUACAUGCAAGUCGAGCGGUAAGGCCCCUUCGGGGGUACACGAGCGGCGAACGGGUGAGUAACACGUGGGUGACCUGCCCUUAGCUCUGGGAUAAGGCCUGGGAAACUGGGUCUAAUACCGGAUAUGACCUCGCGAUGCAUGUCGUGGGGUGGAAAGCCUUGUGCGGCUAGGGAUGGGCCCGCGGCCUAUCAGCUUGUUGGUGGGUGAUGGCCUACCAAGGCGACGACGGGUA